UCGGGGUUAGCGGCGGACGGGUGAGUAACGCGUGGGAAUAUGCCCUUCUCUACGGAAUAGUCCUGGGAAACUGGGGGUAAUACCGUAUACGCCCUUUGGGGGAAAGAUUUAUCGGGGAAGGAUUAGCCCGCGUUGGAUUAGGUAGUUGGUGGGGUAAUGGCCUACCAAGCCGACGAUCCAUAGCUGGUUUGAGAGGAUGAUCAGCCACACUGGGACUGAGACACGGCCCAGACUCCUACGGGAGGCAGCAGUGGGGAAUCUUAGACAAUGGGGGCAACCCUGAUCUAGCCAUGCCGCGUGAGUGAUGAAGGCCUUAGGGUUGUAAAGCUCUUUCAGCUGGGAAGAUAAUGACGGUACCAGCAGAAGAAGCCCCGGCUAACUCCGUGCCAGCAGCCGCGGUAAUACGGAGGGGGCUAGCGUUGUUCGGAAUUAUUGGGCGUAAAGAGCUCGUAGGCGGUUCGGUAAGUCGGGUGUGAAAUCCCUGGGCUCAACCCAGGAAGUGCACCCGAUACUGCUGUGACUCGAGUUCGGUAGGGGAGUGCGGAAUUCCUGGUGUAGCGGUGGAAUGCGCAGAUAUCAGGAGGAACACCAAUGGCGAAGGCAGCACUCUGGGCCGAAACUGACGCUGAGGAGCGAAAGCGUGGGGAGCGAACAGGAUUAGAUACCCUGGUAGUCCACGCCGUAAACGUUGGGCACUAGGUGUGGGCUCUAACCAACGGAGUCCGUGCCGCAGCUAACGCAUU
rnacentral:rRNA from 1 species